ensembl:lncRNA
UGUGGGCUCUGAAGAUUUUAAAUUGCAGCCUCAGAGAGAAUCGGAAAUACUGGCUGGUGAAAUAAAAAGUUUAGGCUUUGUUGGUCUGUCUUUUGAAGUGUGUUAUGUGCAGUUAGACACUUUUCACUUAGGUGAGUCAUCAGGUGUCAGUCUUACAGCCUAUUGUUACUAUUUUUAUUAUCAUCUUCAUCAUCAUUAUUACUUCCCCGGCUCCCCAGAGUGGCUAGUUGGAAGCUAAGCUAAACAUUUGGUUACUCCGGUUGGUAGACUAGAAUCUGUCAGUUAGAAACCACGGAUCGAUUAUUAUGUACUUUUGUGCUUUACAUGUUUAAAAUCACACAAAACUGGGGUAGUUUGAAGGAAUAUGGACAAAAUAUUUGUUUGUGAGCAAAGCUUCCAUGCCUCACCCUUGCCAGGCAUGAGCUCUGUUCUCACCACUACCUUGAGUAAAACAUAGGAAUUUGUGUUCCUAUGAUCUACCUGGUUUGGGGUGAGGUAGGAAUAAAGCCUUCACUGUUGUUUACUGUAACUUCUUGGGAGGUAAUAGAGUGGGGCGGUAGAAACACGUUAAGUUCUUCUCAGAGGUGAAAGCUUCAAAUCUGUGAUCACCUGGAGACGGAGGCAGGGACUGAGGUGGGAACUGAAUUUGCAUAGCCCUACUCACAGACUUACAAGUGAUGGAGAGAAACCUCAGUGGAAGAGAGAAGAACCCAAAGAAAUGUAUCUAUAAUGGCAUCUGAGAAGGAAAACAGUUUUUGAAGAACUGCAUUAUCUUACCAUUAAGAAAUGGUAGUUUGGAUUCAGAUCUCUGCGGAUGAGAAAUUCACAUCUAUUAAUGACUGCCACCAAGACAUUUGCAAAGUCACCAUAGGAAUGACCGUCACAAUUUUGGUUGAAUGUGAGCAACAAAGAUGGCACAACAUAGAAGGAACUCAAGGAGGAGGAUUGAGAACAAACAGCAACGGGGCAUACUGGAUGAGUGGCAUAACCGUCAUUCGGCCUCUUACUAUUCAUCAUCUGCUACGCACAGAGAGUCACAGUGGCUAACUCUUUGGCACGGUCGUCCCUGAAUGCAACAGAAGUCAUUCCCGGGCAUCCAUUGUUAUAUGUGGGUAUUCUUCUCAGCAUUAUCAGUCACAUUUGCAGGUACAGAAAACUUCGGUCUGAGGUCUAGCCUUGCCCACUGCAGUAGAAUAGGAGCCUGGAGGACUGACCCAGGUGCAGAUGUGCAGCUUCAAAUGGAUACACAAAUUUGGCUCUGUGAUGGGUACAGCGUUAAUAGCUAGUGCCCCUGGCAGGAGGCUUGGGAAGAAGGGCACAAACUGACUGGGAAAUCUCAGUGCUGUGGAAUCUAGGGGCAGGGGUAGGGUGACAGGCAGGCACUCCUCGUCCAGGAAGCCUGAAAAGGCAGCCAGUGAGGCCCCAGCAGCCAGGCAGGACUGAGCCAGGACCCAGGCCCUAGGAAGCAGCUGUAGUGCCCACAGCAUACAGAGCAGGAAGAGGAGUCAAAGCAGAGACCCAGCAACAAGAAUUAGGGCACCUGGGCUGGGAGGAAAUGGGAAACAAGUAAGAACAUGGGCAUUGGACUCGGAAACCACA